AGGGAAUUGUCAACAAAGGGACGAGAGACGCGCAACUCCGCUCCGCACUGUGCGCCAGCAUCCCCGGGGCCCCGAGGGCGCUCAGGCCCGCCCGGAGACCCCCCGCCCAGGCUGGAGCCGGGCCCUGGGGCCCAGGGAGCGGGUGUGGACAAAUCCUCCAAGAUUUAACUUCCAAGGAAACCGGCGGCGGAGCGGGUGGAGGAGGCGAGGAUGUGUGGCCAGUGCACGCGGAGUGCAAGGCCGCCUAGUUGGGAGCCGCAAGAGCCUGCCUGGUGUGGCAGGCACACGGAACCCAAUCCCUGUCUGUCUGCUGCGGCCUGGGAGGGGAGCGCCGGCCUCACCAGAGGAAGGAGCACGAGGGGAGGAGUUCCUAGAGGAAAUAAUUAGUGAAAUAUUUGCGGAAGAUGCUGGGAUGUGGAUUUAAUUCCACAUGGACAGUGGUGCUUCUGAUUCCCUCAGUCUGUUUCCCUUGGCCUAGACACAUCAAAAAUAAUUCAUUAAAAUAAAAAUAAAAAUUUAAAAACC
rnacentral:antisense_RNA from 1 species